AUCGAAUUCUUAGAAACUAACUUGGAUCAUGCCGCGAUAUGGACAGCUUGUUAUGGGCCCAGCAGGUAGUGGUAAGUCAACCUACUGCAGUAACAUGGUAAAGCAUGCUGAAAUGUUGAAGAGAACAAUCCAUGUGGUGAACCUGGACCCUGCAGCCGAGUACUUUGAUUAUCCUGUUCUUGCUGGUAUGUUACAUACUUCUAUAAGCGUUUAAGGGAUGUAACAGACUAAUAGCUUUCUUCCAAACGGUAUACGGUGAUAAAUAAAAAGAUGCAAUCACCUGUGGGUGUCUGAAGAUGUUGAUGAAACUGAAAUAUAACUUUAAGUAAUUUUAAUUUUUGAUUUGUCAAUAAAAUCAAUGUAAGAAAGUGUAUGAGGCAUGAAGGACUGACUGUGUGUUCCCAGUGAUUAAAAAGGCUGGAUAGUAAAAAAAAGAAGUAACCAUUAGCUCUACAUAAAAUUUUAAGAUAUAAUUGGCUUGGUAAUAACCUAUUAUUUUAUAAAGAAAAAGACUGUACCGGUACAUUUUAGCUUUUAGGUAUUUUCCUUAGAAUAAUACAGUCUAAAAAUCACUACAACCAUCGAGUCAUCGUAAGUUCCAAAAGUUUAAAAACUUAUAACUAUUAAUUGUAAUAAAUAUACCCGGUACAUGCUUUCUUUACUUUCUUCUUCAUGCCCUUUUUACUGGGAAGAUUUAUUUUAUAAUAGAAUAAUGGUAAGGUUUUGCAAUACAGCUUUCUUAUUGAUGAAGAUUUCAAUACAUGAAUUUAGAUUAUUGCAGCAAUUUAUAUUGACCUU
rnacentral:misc_RNA from 1 species